rnacentral:rRNA from 1 species
GGGAGAUGUAGCUGCUACAUUUCCUAGCGGCGGACGGGUGAGUAAUGCUUAGGAAUCUGCCUAUUAGUGGGGGACAACAUUCCGAAAGGAAUGCUAAUACCGCAUACGCCCUACGGGGGAAAGCAGGGGAUCUUCGGACCUUGCGCUAAUAGAUGAGCCUAAGUCAGAUUAGCUAGUUGGUGGGGUAAAGGCCUACCAAGGCGACGAUCUGUAGCGGGUCUGAGAGGAUGAUCCGCCACACUGGGACUGAGACACGGCCCAGACUCCUACGGGAGGCAGCAGUGGGGAAUAUUGGACAAUGGGCGCAAGCCUGAUCCAGCCAUGCCGCGUGUGUGAAGAAGGCCUUUUGGUUGUAAAGCACUUUAAGCGAGGAGGAGGCUACUUGGAUUAAUACUCUAGGAUAGUGGACGUUACUCGCAGAAUAAGCACCGGCUAACUCUGUGCCAGCAGCCGCGGUAAUACAGAGGGUGCGAGCGUUAAUCGGAUUUACUGGGCGUAAAGCGUGCGUAGGCGGCUUUUUAAGUCGGAUGUGAAAUCCCUGAGCUUAACUUAGGAAUUGCAUUCGAUACUGGGAAGCUAGAGUAUGGGAGAGGAUGGUAGAAUUCCAGGUGUAGCGGUGAAAUGCGUAGAGAUCUGGAGGAAUACCGAUGGCGAAGGCAGCCAUCUGGCCUAAUACUGACGCUGAGGUACGAAAGCAUG